rnacentral:rRNA from 1 species
UACGUAGGGUGCGAGCGUUAAUCGGAAUCACUGGGCUUAAAGCGCGUGUAGGUGGCGGCCUAAGUACCUUGUGAAAUCCUGCGGCUCAACCGCAGAACUGCUUGGUAUACUGGGUCGCUUGAGCCAUCCAGGGGCAACUGGAACAAGCGGUGGAGCGGUGAAAUGCGUAGAUAUCGCUUGGAACGCCAAAGGUGAAAACAGGUUGCUGGGGAUGAGCUGACACUGAGACGCGAAAGCCAGGGGAGCGAACGGG